AUGGGCACGGCUUCGAUGCAGAAGAGCUGGCGCAAGGCGUGCGGCGCCAUCAAGGACUCCACCACCGUCAGCCUCGCCAAGGUCAACAGCGGCCGCGACCACCUCAAGGAUCUCGACGUCGCCGUCGUCAAGGCCACCAGCCACGUCGAGCGCCCGCCCAAGGACCGACACCUCGCAAAGAUCGUCGGCGCCCGGUCGCGCACCGAGGUCUCCCACUGCGUCCACGCGCUCGCCAGGCGCCUCUCCAACACCAGCAACUGGGUGGUGGCUCUGAAGGCGCUGGUGGUGAUCCACCGGGCGCUGCGGGAGGGCGACGGCGGCGCGUUCAGGGAGGAACUGCUGAGCCACGGGCGGCGGCGGGGCCACGCGCUGCAGAUGUCCAGCUUCAAGGACGACUCGGGCCACCUGGCCUGGGACUGCUCCGCGUGGGUGCGCACCUACGCGCUCUUCCUCGAGGAGCGGCUCGAGUGCUUCGCGGUGCUCCGGUACGACGUGGAGGCGGAGCGCCUCAGAGCCCCGGCGCCGGCAGCGGAGGGGCAGACUCCUCACACCAAGGCGCAGAGCAGGACGAGGGGCCUCGGCAAGGACGACCUCCUCGAGCAGCUGCCCGCGCUGCAGCAGCUGCUCUUCCGGCUCGUCGGCUGCCAGCCCGAGGGAGCGGCGUUCGGGAACUACCUCAUACAGUACGCCUUAGCUCUGGUGCUGAAGGAGAGCUUCAAGAUCUACUGCGCCGUCAACGAUGGCAUCAUCAACCUCGUGGAUGUGUUCUUCGACAUGAGCAAGCUCGAUGCGAUCAAAGCCCAGGACAUCUACAGGAGAACAGGAACUCUGGCGAAGAGCCUGUCUGAAUUCUACGAGCUCUGCAGGGGUUUGGAGCUUGCCAGGAACUUCCAGUUCCCAGUUCUCAGAGAGCCACCGGCGUCGUUUCUUGUGACGAUGGAGGAGUACAUCAGAGAAGCUCCCAGAGCUGGCCACGUUGCAAAUAAGACCAUUGAGUAUCGGCAACUGGAUCCUACUGCAGACCAAGAAGAACAACCACCACCUGAACCGCCCCGCGAGGCGACGACCGAAGAACCUGCGGCGGAGGAACCGAUGCCGGAGCCCGAAGAGGAAUCCCACCCUGCACCUGAGCUCAACGAUGAACCUCAACCUACCACCACCACUGCCGAUUUCGAUUUACUGGGUUUACAUGAGGUGAGCUCCGCUGCCGCUGAGAUCGAGGAGAGCAACGCACUGGCGCUGGCCAUUGUAGCACCAGGUGGUGGUGGCAGCAGCGCGUCUGCGUCUCCUGCUGUUGACAUGGAUGGAUCUUCGGGCUGGGAGCUGGCGUUGGUAGCGGCACGGACCGACAUGAGCAGCCGAUCGACAGAGAUGAAACUGGCCGGGGGCUUCGACGGCCUGCUGCUCGACAGCCUGUACGAGGACGCGGCGAGGAGGCAGCAGCAGCAGCAGGCGACCUACGACGACCCUGCCGGGGACCCGUUCGCCGCGUCGACGAGCGUCGCGCCGCCGACCGGCGUGCAGAUGUCAAUGAUGGCGCAGCAGCAGGAGAUGUUUGGGAUGCCGCUGCCGUUUCAGCAUGCUGGUGCCGGUGCUUCUGGGUCUCAGGCCAAUCCAUUCGGUGACGCGUACUCUGCUAUGUUACCCCAGGGGCAGGGCACCCCCUUCCAUGGACACGGGAGCGGCAGCUUGAUUUGA
rnacentral:rRNA from 1 species